CGUCUAGGCGGGGAAUUAAGUUAGGUGUGAAAUCCAUGGGCUCAACUCGUGAAUGGCAUCUAAAACUGGUUCUCUUGAGUUCGGGAGAGGAGAGCAGAAUUCCUGGUGUAGCGGUGAAAUGCGUAGAUAUCAGGAGGAAUACCAGUGGCGAAGGCGGCUCUCUGGCCUAGGACUGACGCUGAAGCGCGAAAGCGUGGGGAGCGAACG
rnacentral:rRNA from 1 species